CCUACGGGUCGCACCAGUGGGGAAUAUUGCACAAUGGGCGCAAGCCUGAUGCAGCCAUACCGCGUGUACGAAGAAGGCCUUCGGGUUAUAAAGUACUUUCAGCGAGGAGGAAGGCAUUAAGGUCAAUAACCUUGGUGAUUGACGUUACUCGCAGAAGAAGCACCGGCUAACUCCGUGCCAGCAGCCGCAGUAAUACGGAGGGUGCAAGCGUUAAUCGGAAUUACUGGGCGUAAAGCGCACGCAGGCGGUCUGUCAAGUCGGAUGUGAAAUCCCCGGGCUCAACCUGGGAACUGCAUUCGAAACUGGCAGGCUAGAGCCUUGUAGAGGGGGGUAGAAUUCCAGGUGUAGCGGUGAAAUGCGUAGAGAUCUGGAGGAAUACCGGUGGCGAAGGCGGCCCCCUGGACAAAGACUGACGCUCAGGUGCGAAAGCGUGGGGAGCAAACAGGAUUAGAUACCCCUGUAGUC
rnacentral:rRNA from 1 species